ACUUUUUUAUUAUAAUAAUUAUAUUUGAUUUCCAAUCAAAAGAUUUUGGAUAUACAACCAAAAAAAAGUA
rnacentral:tRNA from 1 species